UCGACGAUUAAGCACCUUCGGGUGUGUAUAGAGUGGCGAACGGGUGAGUAACACGUGACCCACCUGCCUCUUACAUUGGGACAACCAAAAGAAAUUCUGGCUAAUACCAAAUACUCCGCACAUAUCACAUGAUGUAUGCGGGAAAGCUUUUGCGGUAAGAGAUGGGGUCGCGGCCCAUUAGGUAGACGGCGGGGUAGAAGCCCACCGUGCCGAUGAUGGGUAGCCGGGUUGAGAGACCGACCGGCCACAUUGGGACUGAGAUACGGCCCAGACUCCUACGGGAGGCAGCAGUGGGGAAUAUUGCGCAAUGGGGGAAACCCUGACGCAGCAACGCCGCGUGCGGGAUGAAGGCCUUCGGGUUGUAAACCGCUUUCAGCAGGGAAGACAUCGACGGUACCUGCAGAAGAAGCCCCGGCUAACUACGUGCCAGCAGCCGCGGUAAUACGUAGGGGGCGAGCGUUAUCCGGAUUCAUUGGGCGUAAAGCGCGCGCAGGCGGUUGCUCAAGCGGAACCUCUAAUCUCGGGGCUUAACCUCGAGCCGGGUUCCGAACUGGACGACUCGAGUGCGGUAGAGGCAGAUGGAAUUCCCGGUGUAGCGGUGGAAUGCGCAGAUAUCGGGAAGAACACCAACGGCGAAGGCAGUCUGCUGGGCCGUCACUGACGCUGAGGCGCGAAAGCUGGGGGAGCGAACAGGAUUAGAUACCCUGGUAGUCCCAGCCGUAAACGAUGAGCGCUGGGUGUGGGAGAUUACAUCUUCCGUGCCGAAGCUAACGCAUUAAGCGCUCCGCCUGGGGAGUACGGCCGCAAGGCUAAAACUCAGAGGAAUUGACGGGGGCC
rnacentral:rRNA from 1 species